UCCCUGGUGGUUUAGUGGUUAAGACUCCAUGCUUCCACUACAGGGGGCGCAGCUUCAAUCCCUGUUCAGGGAA
rnacentral:tRNA from 1 species